AGCUCCACAGAAGAACCACAGCGAAGCACCUGCAGAACCAACCCGUGGUUUUACCAAACUGGUUCAAACUGGAUUUACUGUAGAGUGUCCUGCUGUCUCAAGAUCUCCCACAACACCUCACCCGCUCAGCUGCAGUGACGGAGUAGGCGUGGCCUUUCACGAGCUUCUGACCGGUGAUGGCCUCCGUAUCGUACGAGCUGGAAAUCUGACAAACACGAAGGACCGUCAAACUCAAGGAGCUAAUCAACAACAAGCUAAUAAAGGAGCUAUCAAACACAGGCUCAUAAAGGAGCUAAUAAACAACAAGCUAAUAAAGGAGCUAAUCAAACACAGGCUCAUAAAGGAGCUAAUAAACAACAAGCUAAUAAAGGAGCUAAUCAAACACAGGCUCAUAAAGGAGCUAAUCAACAACAAAGCUAAUAAAGGAGCUAUCAAACACAGGCUCAUAAAGGAGCUAAUCAACAACAAGCUAAUAAAGGAGCUAAUCAAACACAGGCUCAUAAAGGAGCUAAUCAACAACAAGCUAAUAAAGGAGCUAAUCAAACACAGGCUCAUAAAGGAGCUAAUCAACAACAAAGCUAAUAAAGGAGCUAAUCAACAACAGGCUAAUAAAAGAGCUAAUCAACAACAAGCUAUGUUUUAGACGUUUACGUCGAUGGAGCAGCCGAGCAGCGAGCCGAGCUUCAGAGCUUUCGUCAUGAUGUUGAACAGGAAGGGCGGAGCCUCCUUCAGGUCGUAGCUCUCGGCGAUGCCUCCGGUGAAAUCCUCAAAACCCUCGACGCUGGAGCCUCCGGUCAGAGCCUCGUACGAACUGCUCACCCUGAAGGAGGAGGCGGGAACAGGAACAGGAAGUGAGCAGCAGGUGUGUUCAGGUGAGUCAGCGGCUUCUACCUGCAGCUCUGUUUGUUUUCCAGGUGCGUCGACGCCGAGUGUUUACUGAGUAAACGCUGCUCCACCCAGCUCCGCCCCCCACGCUCACUUCCUCCUGUCCACCCAGUCACGACCCACUCACUUGGCGUAGGCCUUCUCCAGCAGGGGGCUCCAGAACUCUCGUCCCUCAGCCGAGUGGACAAACAGCAGCUUCCCGUCUCUGGUUGGCAGCCGGUCGUCCACGACGACGUCCACCCACUCCCCGUACUGCCACAGCUGCAUGGACACAAAACAUCAUGUCACUUCCUGUGCAGGCUCCACCCACUCCUUUCUUACCUGUAUGUGUGUGUGUGAGACCUGGAAGUGGAAGAUGCCGGCGUACUGAGACGUGAAGCUCUGACCAGGAGGUACCACUCUGCUCAGAAUCUGAGGGUCCAGAGUCAGAGAGGCGACGGCGGCCAGCAGCCAGCAGUCACCUGACAGACAGAGAGCAGUAAACUGAGGAUCAGAACACAGCUCCUGAUUGGACGAGACGACAGGUGAUUAAUGACAUCAUUACCAUCAUCAUCAUCAUCAUCAUCAUGUGGCGUUUGUCUGUUUCUCACCGACGGCCGUUUCCACUCCACGCCAACGGUCUUGGAUGAGUGCCGUCCCAGCUGGUUGUAUCCCAGUGCGUCCCAGUCGGCGGGGAAGGUCGGGUCACAGAAGAGCGAGCCGCUCUGCAGACACUCGCUCCGCAGC